AACGAACGCUGGCGGCAUGCCUAACACAUGCAAGUCGAACGAGACCUUCGGGUCUAGUGGCGCACGGGUGCGUAACACGUGGGAAUUUGCCUCGGGGUAUGGAAUAACUCAGGGAAACUUGAGCUAAUACCAUAUAAUGUCUUCGGACCAAAGAUUUAUCGCCCUGAGAUAAGCCCGCGUAGGAUUAGCUAGUUGGUGGGGUAAAAGGCUCACCAAGGCGACGAUCCUUAGCUGGUCUGAGAGGAUGAUCAGCCACACUGGGACUGAGACACGGCCCAGACUCCUACGGGAGGCAGCAGUGGGGAAUAUUGGACAAUGGGCGAAAGCCUGAUCCAGCAAUGCCGCGUGAGUGAUGAAGGCCUC
rnacentral:rRNA from 1 species